UUUAAAUGCAAUUUUAUUUCACCUUUGAUCAAAAUAUGUACAUAAGUUUCAACUUCAGGACAUUCCUUAUACUGCAUAAAGCUUUGUCCUUUUCCAAAAUUCCUUUAAUUAUUUCAUAUUUAGUACCUGAAACAUCUCAGAAAAUUAAAUAUCCUCAUUUUUACACUUGAAAAAGUUCAGGUUUAGAAAGGGCAGCAUCUCCCAAGGCCACGAGGGCUGUUGGAGCCGAGAUUCACCUCCUGAUGCUCAGCAUGAGCCCUGGGAGCCCCACUGCAAGCUGCAACUACGCUGGACAGGUCAGAGGGAGGGAGAGGGGCCGCCACACUGCCCAGAGGCCAGACGGUCAAGAACCUGGGGUGGUCUCCUGGACAGAGGAGGGUGCUCUCGGCUGUAGCCGAGGCCGGUUCUGACACCUGUACCCGCACCCCACACCUCGCGUGUGCUCUUUUAUAGCCGCAGGGAUCAGCCCUCAGGAACACAGAAGCACUGGGGCCUCGGCUGGCUGGGGCUGCUGUGGAAUCUCACAUCAUCUCCCCAGUCGUAGAUGUUGAUGCGGUUCGGUUCUGUUUUGUUUGGACCCUCUGGUCAAGUUGUCAAAGACAAAGAAAUUAGCCCCAGCUUUGCGGGUCUUGUCAAAGACAAAGAAAUUAGCCCCAGCUUUGCAGGUCAUGGGUAACCCAACAAAGCACUAACGAGAGGAUCGCGUAGCCAGGUCCCUGCUGUGCCACGUGCAGACUCCACGCAGGCCCACGCCAUCUCAAGUGUGCAUUUCUGGGGCUGACCAUGAACUACUGCACAGACAGCACGUGCAGAAAGAAGGAUCGGAACCUGACACAAAGCCCGGGUGCCUGGAUGCCUGGUCUGCCAGUCAGUGGGCAGAAGCGCAGCCAGGGCCCUCGCAACACUGGCCAUGGAGAUGUCCAGGGCUGGGGUCACAGGUCAGCACUGGGCCCCACCCUCACCGCUAGUGACUCAGGGAUUUGCAGGGAGGGAGGGAGGUGAUUAACAGCCCUGAAGAUAGUUCAUGAACAGAAACCACUCGCUAAUCUUUGCAAAGCCCCAGGCUGCGGAGGAGUGAUUUUAUCUGAUGAUAUCCUCAGAACACUAUUACUGUCAACACCGUAAUAAACUGAGGUGUCAGACUGGACUUUUGGGGGAUGGAAGAGCAUAUUCAUGCUGCAAUCUUCAUCACAGUUUGGCCCUGCAGAACCUUCCAGAACAGCCACCCCCUCCUGCUUGCCUCAUGACCCAAUUACUCUCCAACGAUGCAGUCACCUUCCCAUUGACAGCAGAGGUCCCGGCCACAGGGGCAGCGGGCAGUCUGCCAGCCACAUCUUCACUCUGUUUUGUCGUUAAUCCUCAGGCAAAGCUGGGCCCAGCUCCCAAGGCUGGAAGGCGCCCAGUGCAGAAGAGAGACAGGGAGAGAAGGAGACCAGGGAGGGUAGGAGAGGGGCAAGGGGAAGAGGGAUGGCUGGGCCGGCUUUCCAGGAGAGGAGAGGGACGCCAGCCCCCAGGGCUCUGAGCCCGGAGUCCCUCCUCACACCUGGCCCCUUUGCAAUUCACCUGGUGUACAGAGGGCAUUUCUGAAAUCUUUGCUCCAGGAGGUGAAUUUCAGCAGAAUACCCAUUGUUUGUAUGAGGCACAGACCGGAGGGGACCUUGGUUGAAUAACCAGUAAUUGCAGGCACUCCCAUGAUCCACCUGGGAGGCUCGUCAGUUUUCUAAAACAGACACCAUUGCUCAAGCCUGUUUACUUUUAAAGCACACAAUAAUGCUCGCUUGCUAGUUUGUUUUUGUCCUGCUAAAUCUUUGAAAGGCUUUCCAUAACUCCUGUCAAAUGUUGCCAAAUUCAACGCAGUUGGCAUUUAAAUAUAACUUUGGAAUCAUGCACUGUUCCUUUUUCAUAACUGACUGCGACUGGGUUGGGAAGGUAGGAGGGUGCACUCCCGGCCGAGCUGCUUGGGGCUCCAGGGCUGGGCCACAUCCUUUGCUGCUGGUGCCUCAGGUCUAGAAUCGGGCCCCAGGAUUCCUCAUCCAGACAAGCUCUGAGACUCAGAAUAUUCCCAGUUUUAGAGAAGUGGUACAGUGCAGAUCCCAGAAGUCUCCUAACACCUGUCACCAAGCAUUUUAAUGUUUCUGCGGUAAGACUCAGACACGCUCACGCUCAGUUAGGCGCGUGAAGACCUGGGCAGACUCAGUCAUCUCAGACCAGGUCCUGCUGCCCAGCAACCCCCAGAGAGCUUCCCGUGCUCCAGAACUGCCGGACUUGGGAGCGGCGGGCGAGGGGCUGAGGGAGGAGCUGCCGGUGUGGGCGUGAAGCCGCCAGGCUCCGCCUGUGCCCGCCACAGUGCUUGGCGUUCGUGAGGUGAGGCCCAGGCAGUGGGCCAUGGUGCUUCCUGGCCUGGCCUGGGCACCGCAGCUCCUCCCUGCGGAGGCCGGUCUGAUGCCGGGGUCUGAGCUCCUGUCACAGAGGUGCCAUCAGGAAGACAGAAACCGAGGCCACAGAACCAAUUAAACCAGGAGGACAUCCGUGGAUGUAUUUGCUACAUGCUGUUUCCUUUUUCUCUAGUGCACAUCUUUUUAAAAUAAGAGCCUUUCCCUACAGAGCCAAAAUCGAAUUAUCAUACUUAACAAAACAUAUAUCCUUCAUAUCAGCCAAUAUCUAGUACAUUUUCCAGUUUCUCCAGUUGAACACAAUUUCCUCUGAAGGCAGGUUUGUCUAAGGAAGAUCAGACGUGGAACCAGUUCUGCCACCUGCCUCGCCGAGGAGGCCAGGUGUCCGGGAAAGGUCCCCCCCGGGCCUGUUGGUGCCGCCACCUGCCUUGCCAAGGAGGCCAGGUGUCCGGGAAAGGUCCCCGCCGGGCCUGUCGGUGCCGCCACCUGCCUCGCCACCGAGGAGGCUGGGUGUCCGGGAAAGGUCCCCCCCGGGCCUGUCGGUGCCGCCACCUGCCUCACCGCCGAGAAGGCCGGGUGUCCGGGAAAGGUCCCCGCAGGGACUGUUGGUGCUGUCCUGGGGGGUUCUUCCCCAUCCCCCCUCAUUCCUUAGAAAUGGAAAUCAGCUCCACAGGUUGCCGGAUUCACGGUGAACAUUUCGGCUGGGACGUAUCCAGGGAAUGUGAAGCUCCUGUACUUCUCACCAGGAGAUAUGCUCCCUGGGUGACCCCCACUGGGAGGCUGAGGCUGAUGCCCACACGAGGGGAGGCUCACAGCCUUCCCUGCCAUCGAUACCAGACAAGGGUCCUGUCCCCAGCAGCUGCUCACCUCACUGGUCUAAACACUCAUGGGCUAACCUUGUCCUAGUCCAUGAUUUCAGUGGUGUUUGGAAAAGAUGAUUUUUCUAACUCAGUCACUCAUUCACAUUUAUGGGCCGACAUUCCUUUUUGUUGUUGUUUUUUUGAGACAGAGUCUCAUUCUGUCACCCAGGCUGGAGUGCAAUGGUGCGAUCUCGGCUCACUGCAACCUCUGCCUUCUGAGUUCAAGCAAUUCUCCUGCCUCAGCCUCCCAAGUAGCUGGGAUUACAGGCGUGUGCCACCACACCCAUCUAAAGUUUGUAUUUUUAGUAGAGAUGGGGUUUCGCCAUGUUGGCCAGUCUGGUCUCGAACCCCUGACCUCAGCUGAUCCACCCACCUCGGCCUCCCUAACACUGUAAUCCAAAGUGCUAGGAUUAUAGGCAUGAGACACCAUGCCCGGCCCAACAUUCCUUUUUAAAGGAGGUCUUUCCUCAUACCUAGUGCCAUUUGGUUAUACUGGCAUCCUCUUUCUAGCACAAAACAAGAUAAUGUUUGAUUUUUCCCUCUGGCUGCCAAUAUUCAAAAUAAAGAGUUGGUUUAAGAUCUGCCUGAGUUUUUCAGGCUUUCUCUUUUCUUAGAGUGUCAUUGUGGAUUCAUGGAUGUAAAUGGAUUAGAUGUAUCCUAGUUAACUAUGGGCCUCAUUCUUUUGGAUGCUCAGGUUGUCCCAGAUUUCACCAAUGCCACCUCUUUCAAACUGGCUCCUUGUCUUCUCGACAGGCCCCAUUCGUCCUGGAGAGCCCCCUCACUUUCAGGCACAAUGAAACGUUCUGGGACCCUUGUGCACGUUGGCUGUCCCCAACCAGAAAUCUGCCAUAUCUCUAUUAGAAACCAGGGUUUGUCUUGAUUGUCACAAUGUAACAUUAAAAUUGCCUGUUCUUGAAAUACUGGAAAUAAGGGGGAAGCUGCAAAUAACCCUAUCCCUAUUAAAGAAAUUAAAGUUGUACAUAAAAACCUUCCCACAAAGAAAACCCCAAGACUACAGUAGCAGGAAAAAAAGAUUCAGUAGGUACUUAUGACAAAAUUCUUAGCAAACCAGAAAUAAUGGGGACCUUCCACAACCUGAUUAAAUACAUUUAUAGAAAACUAACAACUAAAACUAAACUAAAAGUGACCCAUACUUAGGGCCACUUUUGACACUUCUGUUCCAUACUGUACUGGGGGUCCCAGCCAAUGCAAUAAGGCAAGAAAAGGAAACAGAGGGCAUAAAAAUCAGAAAGAAAGAUGGGGGAGGGAGAGGAAAAAGAGAGGAAGAAAGCCAUUAUUUGCAAGCAUGAUUAUGUGUUGAGAAAACCCUAUGUAAUCUACAAAACAAACUACUGAAAAUGAUUCAGUGAAUCUAGUCAGGUUGCAGGAUAUCUGAUCAAGUACAAAAUUCAAUUAUCUUCCUAUAUUUCUAUGAACAAUUUAAAAAUGAAAUUGUUAAACAAUUCCAUAUGCAAUGGCAUAAAAAGGCACCAAACCUGAAGAAUAGAAGUAACGGAGCCCCAGCUAGACAGCAGCUGAUGCCCCCCGAGAGGUCCCAUGCAGCCAUCCCCGGGCAGCUGUCCCAGGUGCCCACCCCCCACUCACCAAGAGCCCUGAAAAUCAAGGGUCUGAGCCCAGGGGAGCAGACCCAGCUCAUGACAACAAAUGUACAAGGCCAAACGGAAGGCACCUGCUGCUUCUUGCCUCCCAGCCUGACAGACAGUUACACGUGGUGGGGCCAGUGAGAGGGAGGAUGGGAGGAAAGAGGCAGGGAGUGAGGGGUAGUGAAGGGAAGGGAGGGAGGAAGCAGGUUGGCAGGGGAGGGGGAGCCAGUGAGAGGGAGGACGGGAGGAAGCAGGUGGGGGGGCAGCAAGAGGGAGAAUGGGAGGAAGCAGGUGGGGGGGCAGCAAGAGGGAGAAUGGGAGGAAGCAGGUGGGGGGUGCCAGUGAGAGGGAGGACGGGAGGAAGCAGGUGGGGGGGCAGCAAGAGGGAGAAUGGGAGGAAGCAGGUGGGGGUGCCAGUGAGAGGGAGGAUGGGAGGAAGCAGGCGGCGGGGGGGGCAGUGAGGGGGAGGGAGGGAGGAAGUCCACCCCACCCUCCAGCCUGACCUGAGCUGUGGCUGCCUCUGAGAGGGCAGAAGGGCCGGCCUGCAGGCGAUACGCCCCCUGACACCCACUGAGUGAGACCGAGGGCACCCCCACCUGAAUCCCCUCUAUGAAGCUUAAUGAGCUUAAAGGAGCAUCGGAGCUGGGGGAAUGGUGGCCCCAAAAGACAUGUCCCCCGAGAACCUGCGAGUGGGACCUCAUGGAGAAAGGGUCUUUACUGAUGUAAUUAAGUUUAGGUUCUCCAGAUAGAAUCAUGGUGGAUUAGAGCGGUCCCUGCAUCCAAUGACAGGUGCCGUUAUAAAGCAGAGAACACAGGGAGACGGAUGCCGCGUGAAGAAGAACGGAGCCAGAGUGACGCAUCCACAAGCAGAGGAGCACGAAGAUGCAGCGAGCCCCAGCAUGGCGGAGAGAGGCAGGAAACGCAUCCCCCUCAGAGCCACCCCCAGUCUCCCCUCAGAGCCCCCACAGCCCCCUCAGAGCCACUGCAUCCCCCUCAGAGCCUCCGGAGGGAACCGACCCCAUCACCACUUUGUUUCAGACUUCAGGUCUCCAGAACCGUGAGACAGUAUCCGC
rnacentral:lncRNA from 1 species